rnacentral:lncRNA from 1 species
UUGUAAUCCAAUGACUAUCUUCUAAGAAAAAUUCAUCUGUCAAUUUCCCUUCAAAGUCACUUUAAGCCUCUAAAUUGCUUCCAUGCAAAUCUCUUACUUUCUUUUUAAUUUUAGAAAUGCAUGCCAACUCAAAGUUAGGAAUAUAGCGACUCUCAAGGACUUGAUGUAUCUCCAUUUCUCCUAUAUAUGCUUAGAGAAACUUAUUGAUGUCCCU